rnacentral:rRNA from 1 species
UACGUAGGCAGCAAGCGUUGUUCGGAGUUACUGGGCGUAAAGGGUGUGUAGGCGGUUGGAUAAGUGUGGUGUGAAAUCUCCCGGCUUAACUGGGAGGGUGCGCUACAAACUGUCUGACUAGAGUGUGGGAUGGGAGAGUGGAAUUCCUGGUGUAGCGGUGAAAUGCGUAGAUAUCAGGAGGAACACCGGUGGUGUAGACGGCUCUCUGGACCAUAACUGACGCUGAGACACGAAAGCGUGGGUAGCAAACAGG